UGGAUCCAGACUUUGAUCAUGGCUCAGGACGAACGCUGGCGGCGUGCUUAACACAUGCAAGUCGAACGAGAAUCUACUGAAAGAGUUUUCGGACAAUGGAUGUAGAGGAAAGUGGCGGACGGGUGAGUAACGCGUGAGGAACCUGCCUUGAAGAGGGGGACAACAGUUGGAAACGACUGCUAAUACCGCGUGACGCAUAGAGGUCGCAUGAUCUUUAUGCCAAAGAUUUAUCGCUUCAAGAUGGCCUCGCGUCUGAUUAGCUAGUUGGCGGGGUAACGGCCCACCAAGGCGACGAUCAGUAGCCGGACUGAGAGGUUGAACGGCCACAUUGGGACUGAGAUACGGCCCAGACUCCUACGGGAGGCAGCAGUGGGGAAUAUUGGGCAAUGGGCGCAAGCCUGACCCAGCAACGCCGCGUGAAGGAAGAAGGCUUUCGGGUUGUAAACUUCUUUUAAGAGGGAAGAGCAGAAGACGGUACCUCUAGAAUAAGCCACGGCUAACUACGUGCCAGCAGCCGCGGUAAUACGUAGGUGGCAAGCGUUGUCCGGAUUUACUGGGUGUAAAGGGCGUGCAGCCGGGUCUGCAAGUCAGAUGUGAAAUCCAUGGGCUCAACCCAUGAACUGCAUUUGAAACUGUAGAUCUUGAGUGUCGGAGGGGCAAUCGGAAUUCCUAGUGUAGCGGUGAAAUGCGUAGAUAUUAGGAGGAACACCAGUGGCGAAGGCGGAUUGCUGGACGAUAACUGACGGUGAGGCGCGAAAGUGUGGGAAGCAAACAGGAUUAGAUACCCUGGUAGUCCACACUGUAAACGAUGAAUACUAGGUGUGCGGGGACUGACCCCCUGCGUGCCGCAGUAAACACAAUAAGUAUUCCACCUGGGGAGUACGAUCGCAAGGUUGCAACUCAAAUGAAUUGACGGA
rnacentral:rRNA from 1 species